rnacentral:rRNA from 1 species
UGGGGAAUAUUGGACAAUGGGGGCAACCCUGAUCCAGCGAUGCCGCGUGGGUGAAGAAGGCCUUCGGGUUGUAAAGCCCUUUAGGUUGGGACGAAGUAUGGAAGAGGAAAUGCUUUUAUAUUGACGGUACCGACAAAAUAAGCACCGGCAAACUCUGUGCCAGCAGCCGCGGUAAUACAGAGGGUGCGAGCGUUAAUCGGAAUUACUGGGCGUAAAGGGCGCGUAGGCGGUAAGGAGCGUGUGAUGUGAAAGCCCCGGGCUUAACCUGGGAAGAGCAUCGCAAACGACCUAACUAGAGUACAGGAGAGGAUGGCGGAAUUUCCGGUGUAGCGGUGAAAUGCGUAGAGAUCGGAAGGAACGUCGAUGGCGAAGGCAGCCAUCUGGCCUGAUACUGACGCUGAGGCGCGAAAGCGUGGGUAGCGAACAGGAUUAGAUACCCCCGUAGUCC